rnacentral:rRNA from 1 species
AUUGAACGCUGGCGGCAGGCCUAACACAUGCAAGUCGAGCGAGCGGCGGACGGGUGAGUAAUGUCUGGGAAACUGCCUGAUGGAGGGGGAUAACUACUGGAAACGGUAUCUAAUACCGCAUACCAUCAGAUGUGCCCAGAUUGGAUUAGCUGGUAGGUGGGGUAACGGCUCACCUAGGCGACGUUCCCUAGCUGGUCUGAGAGGAUGACCAGCCACACUGUAACGGAGACACGGUCCAGACUCCUACGGGAGGCAGCAGUGGGGAAUAUUGCACAAUGGGCGCAAGCCUGAUGCAGCCAUGCCUCGUGUGUGAAGAAGGCCUUCGGGUUGUAAAGCACUUUCAGCGGGGAGGCGUUACCCGCAGAAGAAGCACCGGCUAACUCCGUGCCAGCCGCCGCGGUAAUAC